GAUGAACGCUAGCGGGAGGCCUAACACAUGCAAGCCGAGCGGUAGAGCUUCUUCGGAAACUUGAGAGCGGCGCACGGGUGCGUAACACGUGUGCAACCUACCUUUAUCUGGGGGAUAGCCUUUCGAAAGGAAGAUUAAUACCCCAUAAUAUAAUGAUUGGCAUCAAUUAUUAUUGAAAACUCCGGUGGAUAGAGAUGGGCACGCGCAAGAUUAGAUAGUUGGUGAGGUACCGGCUCACCAAGUCAAUGAUCUUUAGGGGUCCUGAGAGGGAGAGCCCCCACACUGGUACUGAGCCAAGGACCAGACUGCUACGGGCGGCAGCAGUAAGGAAGAUUGGAGUAGGGAUGAUUGCCUGAUCCAGCCAACCCGCGUGAAGGAUGACCGUCCUCUGGAUUGUAACCUUCUUUUGUACAGGGGUAAUCCUCCCCUCGUGAGGGUAGCUGACGGUACUGUACGAAUAAGCACCGGCUAACUCCGUG
rnacentral:rRNA from 1 species